AUUCUGCCCAAGCGGGGAAGGAUGAGAAGCUUCGACCAAGGUUCGACUUGAGCGCCAGCGAGAGAGCGUGGCCGCAGGCAACGACCCGAAGGG
rnacentral:sRNA from 1 species